GACGAACGCUGGCGGCGUGCUUAACACAUGCAAGUCGAACGGAAAGGCCCUGCUUUUGUGGGGUGCUCGAUUGGCGAACGGGUGAGUAACACGUGAGUAACCUGCCCUUGACUUUGGGAUAACUUCAGGAAACUGGGUCUAAUACCGGAUAGGAGCUUUUGCUCCACGGUGGGCGUUGGAAAGAUUCGGCGUUUGGGGAUGGACUGGCGGCUUAUCAGCUUGUUGGUGGGGUAGUGGCUUACCAAGGCUUUGACGGGUAGCCGGCCUGAGAGGGGGACCGGCCACAUUAGGACUGAGGUACGGCCCAGCCUCGUACGGGAGGCAGCAGUGGUGAAUAUUGCGCAAUGGCCGGAAGCCUGAGGCAGAGGCGCCGCGAGCGGAAUAACGGCCUUCGGGUUGUGAACCGCUGUCGCCUGAGACGAAGCGUGAGUGACGGUAAUGGGUCAAGAAGCCCCGGCUAACUACGUG
rnacentral:rRNA from 1 species